GAUGAACACUAGCGGCAGGCCUAACACAUGCAAGUCGAGGGGUAGAGGAAGCUUGCUUCCUUGAGACCGGCGCACGGGUGCGUAACGCGUAUGCAAUCUACCUUUUACAGAGGGAUAACCCAGAGAAAUUUGGAUUAAUACCUCAUAGUAUUUUCGAAUGGCAUCAUUUGAUUAUUAAAGUCCCAACGGUAAAAGAUGAGCAUGCGUCCUAUUAACUAGAUGGUAAGGUAACGGCUUACCAUGGCAACGAUAGGUAGGGGUCCUGAGAGGGAGAUCCCCCACACUGGUACUGAGACACGGACCAGACUCCUACGGGAGGCAGCAGUGAGGAAUAUUGGACAAUGGGCGCAAGCCUGAUCCAGCCAUGCCGCGUGCAGGAAGACGCAUCUAUGGUGUGUAAACUGCUUUUGUACGGGAAGAAACACUCCCUCGUGAGGGAGCUUGACGGUACCGUAAGAAUAAGGAUCGGCUAACUCUGUGCCAGCCGCCGCCGUAAAAC
rnacentral:rRNA from 1 species